rnacentral:rRNA from 1 species
UACGUAGGGGGCAAGCGUUGUCCGGAAUCAUUGGGCGUAAAGCGCGUGUAGGCGGUUCAGUAAGUCUGCUGUGAAAGUCCAGGGCUCAACCCUGGGAUGCCGGUGGAUACUGCUGGGCUAGAGUACGGAAGAGGCGAGUGGAAUUCCCGGUGUAGCGGUGAAAUGCGCAGAUAUCGGGAGGAACCCCCAUUGCGAAGGGAGGUCGGUGGGAAGUCACUUGCGCUGAGACGCGAAAGCGUGGGGAGCAAACAGG